rnacentral:lncRNA from 1 species
AUCACCGAAGGAAUAAGUGAACACGGUGAAUGAAUGGACAAGCGCGUUGGGCCCACCUUUGGCACCUUCCUCUUCCUCCAUCUUGUUGCCGUCUGCCUCCUCCCUUAUGAUCAGCCGGCCAUCGGCGCUCACCUUGAAGCCGUGGUCCUUCUUCCUGCCCCGGCCUGGCCCUGGCUGCGUGGCCAGGACUCGUUGGGCCACCUUGGGAUCCAGGAAGUUGAGGGGCUCGUCCCCACCGCCCUCUUUCAGCCAUGCCCGGCUCCUCUGUCGUGCCAGCUUCCGCUGCUCCUUGCCUCGGCUUCUU